UACGUAGGGUGCAAGCGUUGUUCGGAAUCACUGGGCGUAAAGCGCACGUAGGCGGAUUGUUAAGUCGGGGGUGAAAUCCUGAGGCUCAACCUCAGAACUGCCUCCGAUACUGGCAAUCUCGAGUUCGGAAGAGGUUGGUGGAACAGCUAGUGUAGAGGUGAAAUUCGUAGAUAUUAGCUAGAACACCAGUGGCGAAGGCGGCCAACUGGUCCGACACUGACGCUGAGGUGCGAAAGCGUGGGGAGCAAACAGG
rnacentral:rRNA from 1 species